UACGGAGGGGGCUAGCGUUGUUCGGAAUUACUGGGCGUAAAGCGCACGUAGGCGGCUUUGUAAGUUAGAGGUGAAAGCCCGGGGCUCAACUCCGGAAUUGCCUUUAAAACUGCAUCGCUAGAAUUGUGGAGAGGUAAGUGGAAUUCCGAGUGUAGAGGUGAAAUUCGUAGAUAUUCGGAAGAACACCAGUGGCGAAGGCGACUUACUGGACACAUAUUGACGCUGAGGCGCGAAAGCUAGGGGAGCAAACAGGG
rnacentral:rRNA from 1 species